AUGACCCACCAAACACACACCUCUCAUUUAGUCAAACUCAGCCCUUGGCCAUUAACAGGGGCUCUCUCAGCUCUCCUAAUAACAUCUGGCCUAGCUAUAUGAUCUCACUUUAACUCUAUUACUCUUUUAACUUUAGGCCUACUAACCAAUACACUGACUAUAUAUCAAUGGUGACGUGAUAUUAUCCGAGAAAGUACAUUUCAAGGCCACCAUACAACAAUUGUCCGAAAGGCCUCUGAUAUGGAAUUUAUUUAUUAUCUCAGAAGCAUUUUUCUUUGCUGGAUUCUUCUGGGCAUUCUACCAUUCCAGUCUAGCCCCAACUCCAGAACUAGGAGGACACUGACCCCCAACAGGCAUUUCUCCCCUCAACCCUCUGGAAGUACCCCUCUUGCAUCAGGGAUUUCAAUUACUUGAGCCUAUCACAGCCUACUAGAAAAUAAUCAAAAACAAAUAACUGAAGCACUACUUAUCACAAUUACCUCAGGUAUUUACUUCACCCUCCUACAAGUCUCAGAAUACUUUGAGGCUCCCUUUGCUAUUUCUGAUGAAUUUAUGGCUCAACAUUCUUUAUAGCUACAGCCUUUCACGGACUUCACGUCAUUAUUGGAUCAACAUUCCUCACUAUCUGUCUCUUCUGCCAAUUAAAAUAUCACUUUACAUCUAGCCAUCACUUUGGCUUCGAAGCUGCUGCCUGAUAUUGACACUCUGUAGAUGUAGUAUGACUAUUCUUGUAUAUCUCUAUUUACUGAUGAGGA
rnacentral:lncRNA from 1 species